rnacentral:rRNA from 1 species
UACGUAGGGUGCAAGCGUUAAUCGGAAUUACUGGGCGUAAAGCGUGCGCAGGCGGUUCCGCAAGUCAGAUGUGAAAUCCCCGGGCUCAACCUGGGAACUGCAUUUGAAACUACGGGGCUAGAGUGUGUCAGAGGGGGGUGGAAUUCCACGUGUAGCAGUGAAAUGCGUAGAGAUGUGGAGGAACACCAAUGGCGAAGGCAGCCCCCUGGGAUGACACUGACGCUCAUGCAUGAAAGCGUGGGGAGCAAACAGG